rnacentral:lncRNA from 7 species
AUUCUCAUGGUGGAGAGGGGGAUGAGAAUGGAUUAUGAUCCUUCUGUAUGAUGAACUCACUGACAUCUCACAGUCUUAGAGUGCUGGCAUUCACGUUGUGAUCUCUGCAGCAGUCAUUCCUCACAUAUCUGUCAACUGGCCAGAUAUUGCAGGAGAAGCAGAAAGUGACCAAUGAGCUGGAGAGGACUGCAAACUUCCAGGCGGACAGCUGAGAUCUCUUAUGGACAUUCCUUGCAUUUGUUGCACUGGUGGGCUAGCCACAUGAUUAACAAGAAACAAGGCCACAUGAGUGAAAGUGAGCAAACACUGUGCUCAUAUUAUUAAAAGGAGAAUUGUAUUGUUUUUCCUAUUAACUUUACCAGGGAGAUAGAUGUCCUUUCACAUUUAGGAAAUAGAAGAGAGACUUAGUGUUCUCCUGCUGAAUAAACAGUAAAUACGCUCUGGCUGUCUGAUCCAACAGCUACACCUGUCCAAGCAGGAAAUGUCAAAUUCCAUAUCACUAAUGAAAUCUGGAUUCCGCAUAUUUGCAACCAUGAGUAGGAUAUUUGCAGAAAUAACUGCGAGUAAAAUUUGUCCCCAUGUAUGCUGGUCUUCCCAGCUUGUACAGAUUCAUUGCUUGAGGCCUAAUAUCGAUUGAGGAGUGUAAUUUUGCAUGGACCAGCUGGAAGGAGGUAUAAACUGCCCACAGACAAUCUUUGCAGAGGAGAAGAUAACCAGCUACAAGCCCAGGACUGUGGGAUGCAGGCAACAGAAACAAGUUGGUUGUGGCUUAGCACAGUUUCAACAAGCACACAGACCUGGCCACAGCCUCUCCAGGGUGUCUCACAACAUAGGAUCCCAUCAGAGUUCAGGGAGGGGAAAGAAUACACUUUCUGAGAAGAUUACCUUUUGGUUUUUUAGGCCCUUUCCAUGUCCAUUUGCUGAUAUCCACUGUGGUUUUUUAAUGAAUAAUUCAGAGACUACUGCUUUUAGGACAAUACGUAUGUGUCAAACUAU